rnacentral:rRNA from 1 species
GACGAACGCUGGCGGCGUGCUUAACACAUGCAAGUCGAACGGAAAGGCCCUGCUUUUGUGGGGUGCUCGAGUGGCGAACGGGUGAGUAACACGUGAGUAACCUGCCCUUGACUUUGGGAUAACUUCAGGAAACUGGGGCUAAUACCGGAUAGGAGCUCCUGCUGCAUGGUGGGGGUUGGAAAGUUUCGGCGGUUGUGGAUGGACUCGGGGCUUAUCAGCUUGUUGGUGGGGUAGUGGCUUACCAAGGCUUUGACGGGUAGCCGGCCUGAGAGGGUGACCGGCCACAUUGGGACUGAGAGACGGCCCAGACUCCUACGGGAGGCAGCAGUGGGGAAUAUUGCACAGUGGGCGGAAGCCUGAUGCAGCGACGCCGCGUGCGGGAUGACGGCCUUCGGGUUGUAAACCGCUUUCGCCUGUGACGAAGCGUGAGUGACGGUAAUGGGUAAAGAAGCACCGGCUAACUACGUG